GAGGCACAUAACCAAUCAAAAGGUUUGUGCAUGAAAACCCAAUAUCUACGGUCCACUACUCCAAAAAGAUUUCUGCAAUGUUACACUU